CUUCGGCGAGCCCGCCUCACGGCCGCCGGGGGGCAUCUGCCCCCGGGCCCGCGCCCGCCGAAGCCACCUGUGAACUCGUCUGAAGUAUGCAGUCUGAGACAAUUAUUAAAUUAAUUAAAACUUUCAACAACGGAUCUCUUGGUUCCGGCAUCGAUGAAGAACGCAGCGAAAUGCGAUAACUAAUGUGAAUUGCAGAAUUCAGUGAAUCAUCGAGUCUUUGAACGCACAUUGCGCCCUCUGGUAUUCCGGAGGGCAUGCCUGUCCGAGCGUCAUUGCUGCCCUCCAGCCCGGCUGGUGUGUUGGGCCCCGUCCCCCUUCCCGGGGGGACGGGCCCGAAAGGCAGCGGCGGCACCGCGUCCGGUCCUCGAGCGUAUGGGGCUUUGUCACCCGCUCUUGUAGGCCCGGCCGGCGCCAGCCGACCCCCUCAAUCUAUUUUUCAGGUUGACCUCGGAUCAGGUAGGGAUACCCGCUGAACUUAAGCAUAUCAA
rnacentral:rRNA from 1 species